UACGAAGGGGGCUAGCGUUGCUCGGAAUCACUGGGCGUAAAGGGUGCGUAGGCGGGUCUUUAAGUCAGGGGUGAAAUCCUGGAGCUCAACUCCAGAACUGCCUUUGAUACUGAAGAUCUUGAGUUCGGGAGAGGUGAGUGGAAUUCCUAGUGUAGAGGUGAAAUUCGUAGAUAUUAGGAAGAACACCGGUGGCGAAGGCGGGUCUCUGGGCCGACAUUGACGCUGAGGAGCGAAAGCGUGGGGAGCGAACAGG
rnacentral:rRNA from 1 species